rnacentral:rRNA from 1 species
AUUGAACGCUGGCGGCAGGCCUAACACAUGCAAGUCGAGCGGAUGAAGGGAGCUUGCUCCUGGAUUCCGCGGCGGACGGGUGAGUAAUGCCUAGGAAUCUGCCUGGUCGUGGGGGAUAACGUCCGGAAACGGGCGCUAAUACCGCAUACGUCCUGAGGGAGAAAGGGGGGGAUCUUCGGACCUCACGCUAUCAGAUGAGCCUAGGUCGGAUUAGCUAGUUGGUGGGGUAAAGGCCUACCAAGGCGACGAUCCGUAACUGGUCUGAGAGGAUGAUCAGUCACACUGGAACUGAGACACGGUCCAGACUCCUACGGGAGGCAGCAGUGGGGAAUAUUGGACAAUGGGCGAAAGCCUGAUCCAGCCAUGCCGCGUGUGUGAAGAAGGUCUUCGGAUUGUAAAGCACUUUAAGUUGGGAGGAAGGGCAGUAAGUUAAUACCUUGCUGUUUUGACGUUACCAACAGAAUAAGCACCGGCUAACUUCGUG